AUUGAACGCUGGCGGCAUGCCUUACACAUGCAAGUCGAACGGCAGCACGGGAGCAAUCCUGGUGGCGAGUGGCGAACGGGUGAGUAAUAUAUCGGAACGUGCCCAGUCGUGGGGGAUAACGUAGCGAAAGCUACGCUAAUACCGCAUACGAUCUAUGGAUGAAAGCGGGGGAUCGCAAGACCUCGCGCGAUUGGAGCGGCCGAUAUCAGAUUAGGUAGUUGGUGAGGUAAAGGCUCACCAAGCCGACGAUCUGUAGCUGGUCUGAGAGGACGACCAGCCACACUGGGACUGAGACACGGCCCAGACUCCUACGGGAGGCAGCAGUGGGGGAAUUUUGGGACAAUGGGCGCAAGCCUGAUCCAGCAAUGCCGCGUGCAGGAUGAAGGCCUUCGGUUGUAACUAGCUUUUGUACGGUAACGG
rnacentral:rRNA from 1 species